UUAGACUUAGCGGCGGACGGGUGAGUAACGCGUGGGUAACCUGCCUUACACUGGGGGAUAACAGUUAGAAAUGACUGCUAAUACCGCAUAAGCGCACAGGGCCGCAUGGUCUGGUGUGAAAAACUCCGGUGGUGUAAGAUGGACCCGCGUCUGAUUAGCCAGUUGGCGGGGUAACGGCCCACCAAAGCGACGAUCAGUAGUCGGCCUGAGAGGGUGAACGGCCACAUUGGGACUGAGACACGGCCCAAACUCCUACGGGAGGCAGCAUG
rnacentral:rRNA from 1 species